GUGGGGAAUAUUGGACAAUGGGCGAAAGCCUGAUCCAGCAAUGCCGCGUGAGUGAUGAAGGCCUUAGGGUUGUAAAGCUCUUUUACCCGGGAUGAUAAUGACAGUACCGGGAGAAUAAGCUCCGGCUAACUCCGUGCCAGCAGCCGCGGUAAUACGGAGGGAGCUAGCGUUAUUCGGAAUUACUGGGCGUAAAGCGCACGUAGGCGGCUUUGUAAGUUAGAGGUGAAAGCCUGGAGCUCAACUCCAGAAUUGCCUUUAAGACUGCAUCGCUUGAAUCCAGGAGAGGUGAGUGGAAUUCCGAGUGUAGAGGUGAAAUUCGUAGAUAUUCGGAAGAACACCAGUGGCGAAGGCGGCUCACUGGACUGGUAUUGACGCUGAGGUGCGAAAGCGUGGGGAGCAAACAGGAUUAGAUACCCUAGUAGUCC
rnacentral:rRNA from 1 species